UUCCAUCAGAGCUGAACUCAGGGAUUUUUAGUGUCAACAAAUUAAACCAAAUGUCAUGCAGCUGUCUUGCCUAACAGCCUUGCUCAACGGGGAGCCUGGCAAGCUCACUUUGUCUGAAAUAACCCCCCUAAGAUCAGCACACAGUUUCAGAUAUGCAGACAGGCAGAAAAGCAAGUGCAAGGAAUAACUGUAACUCACCUAAUUCAGGCCAAAUGCAUCAGUAUCUAUAUUCCUUAUGUGAGGAGUUGAAAAAUCUGUCAUAGAGACUGGCUAAUUUUCUUUUCUUCUUCCUUUUUAAAUGGGUUGUGAGGACAUCGUGUUUGAUGUGACAACCAACCUAAUUCCAUCUUUGAGAGCUCUGAUUUUUUUCUCAUCUGUUCACAUGACCAGUUCUGUUUUUUGACAAAUUUUGAAAUGUUGUAAAUAACUGACACCUCCACUUUUUAUUCAGAAUGAUCAAAAUCAAAAUCCCACGUAAGAUUGAACAUUUGUUUAUCCAUAAAAACCCUUCGUUAUUCAACCUUGCCUGCUGCAUGAAUAUCACUUCUGAACUUUCUCUCACCAAGAAGAAGCUGUGGAAAGCCAUUAAGGCUUACAUGCCAUGCCUGAAAAUAUGUUUAGACAAACAGAAACAGCAGAACUUUAUGUGUGAAUAUCUGAGUGACUUUCUAUAAUCAUUGCAAAGUAGAUCGCAGUCCAGAAUACUCUUUUCUUGCCUUAUCUACUAUUGCUAUAAUAAUUACUUUUGAGAAAAUACACUCACAGAGUAGCUUUGCAAUUUAAGGACACUGACUGACUAAGAUAAUGCAGCAAUAACUGUAUGCCAGUAGAGAAUAUUAUGAUCUUCUUUCAUUAGUAACAAAGCAUUAAAUCUGCCUAAAUAGAGCCUUGCCUAAUUAGCUUUAAUAACAAAAGGGAGUCUUCCAAACUGCAUCAUUUAAGCUUGCUGCAGGAAGGGAUUCCAAAACUAGACUCAAGGUGGGGUGCAGAAUAUUCUCCUCUAACUCCUCUUCUAUUCAAGUUCCUCUUAAGCUUAUUAAUGCAAAAAGAAUCCUAAUGCUAAUAUAAUCCUCUUAGGUUUGUAGUUUUUCUUCUGCGAGAAGUAGGGUAGGAUGACCACUGCAAUAUUUAACCUUCAUUAAACAUUCAUUAAAACUUUUUCUAUUUAUUCUUUUAUUUUCAAAGAGUGAGCAACAGAGUUCACAUAGGCAUCAUUUACUAUUUUGCUUCAGCAUUUUAUCAGGAUUUCUUUCCUACUUGGACAUAGCCAAAUAGUCUUUGAGGAUCUUGAUACAUGAAAGAUAAGUAAUUUUGGUCUGUAUUGUGAAUGUUAAACUGAGAUUAUAUUCCUAAAAGAAAUUGGUUUUAUAGAACACACUACAGCAAAUGCAAACUUUUUAAUCAUGGCUGACAAAUGGGGUGGUGUACCAGAAACACCCUCAUAAACAUUCACUGAUUAGUCUUCAUUGAAUAUUUGCUUUGCUUUGAUCAUGAGUUAUCACAUUCAUAUUUAAAAAGUUUGUGCUCAAACUUUCAUAUUUAUUAAGUUUGUGCUCAAAUUCCACCUAAGUCUACAAGAAUUAAGUAUUUACUGUAAAUUAAGGAUGUAUGUUAGUGAUUUUUGAAGCUGUGAUCAGAAUAAAUGAUUGGUAAAAUGGAGAUGUAUAGUCAGGUAGACUUCUUU